CAGGGCGGUGCGGGGGCCUGGGUUCCGGAGGAGGAGGGACACGCAUCCCCCACCGGGAAUGAUGGCCCCGCUCGCCCAGAGGGCCGCCCUCCACCCUCUGCGGGCUGGCUGGCUGCUGUCGCGUCCCAAUAAAUUAAAUCUGCUCCAUCGUCACUGUUCUGUGCCCGAGACGAGCACUUCCAAGGCAGAUUAGAAAGGAACUUAAGGGGAUUAAAAGCUUCUCUUAGUGAAAAACAAUGUUUCCGAUGGGAAAUCCAUUUCCCAAUAUGAAUUUCAGCAGAAAUGCAUGAUUUCCGUGCGGGCGCCGCUGCCGCUCAGGGAAAGGGGGACGUCCCCCCACACCUCCCGCCCUCCGCUUUGCAUAAGUGAGAACGAGGAUUCUCUCCCCGAGAUUGAUGGCUUCCAUAAAGUCCUGCGAAAAUGUUUCUCCUUUGUUCGCCAGGGAAAGGGAAAGUGUCUAAUGGGUUUGGAGUAUUAAACGAGUGUCGGUUUGUAUUGGAAACCGGGGGCGUCCAGGAGUGAAUACCAGACACCCAAGGAAAUGGAUUGGCUGGAGGUGGAACAAGGAGCUGGGCAGAGAGCUGCUGUCUGCACCCGUGAUCUGGGGGAGCCUGGGAAGAGAAAGGCACACAGAGCUGCCUGUGGGUUCCACCGACCGUGAGGCUGAACCGGAGUCUUCCCAAUCACCCAGGCCUCAGCCGCCAUCUCCCAUGCCGGCGUCUUGAGGAGGGGCGCCCCGGCUCUCAUGCCCCAAGCCAGGAUGUUCCUGUGCGAAGCUCCUGGCCCCCCCC